UACGUAGCAGCGAGCGUUGUUCGGAGUUACUGGGCGUAAAGCGUGCGUAGGCGGUGUCUUAAGUUUGUUGUGAAAUCUCCCGGCUCAACUGGGAGGGUGCGGCGAAUACUGAGAUGCUGGAGUGCGGGAGAGGUAAGCGGAAUUCCUGGUGUAGCGGUGAAAUGCGUAGAUAUCAGGAGGAACACCUGCGGUGUAGACGGCUUACUGGACCGUAACUGACGCUGAGCACGAAAGCGUGGGUAGCAAACAGG
rnacentral:rRNA from 1 species